rnacentral:rRNA from 1 species
GGUGAGUAAUACAUCGGAACGUGCCCAGUUGUGGGGGAUAGCCCGGCGAAAGCCGGAUUAAUACCGCAUACGACCUGUGGGUGAAAGCGGGGGAUCGCAAGACCUCGCGCAAUUGGAGCGGCCGAUGUCAGAUUAGCUUGUUGGUGGGGUAAAAGCCUACCAAGGCGACGAUCUGUAGCUGGUCUGAGAGGACGACCAGCCACACUGGGACUGAGACACGGCCCAGACUCCUACGGGAGGCAGCAGUGGGGAAUUUUGGACAAUGGGCGCAAGCCUGAUCCAGCCAUGCCGCGUGUGGGAAGAAGGCCUUCGGGUUGUAAACCACUUUUGUCAGGGAAGAAACGGUCUGAUCUAAUAAAUUGGGCUAAUGACGGUACCUGAAGAAUAAGCACCGGCUAACUACGUGCCAGCAGCCGCGGUAAUACGUAG